GUGAGUUUGUACCUUCAGUUUUGAGGGGCAACUUCGGUGUCCGAGACAUCUUUGUCGAGAGGUGCCCACGACCGCGGCUGCACCGGAAAAGCCUUGUCGGGUGGACGGUCUCGGGGUCCUUCAGGGCCUCCGCGAGCGCCCUCAGGGUGGAGCCUGGGGGUCCCCCGCACUAAGCCGAGGACGGCGCCUCCUGCCGAGCGGCGCGGGAGGGACUUCCUGACGAGCCCGGCUUCCCCGAGGGCAGCGCGUGUCGCCACCCCUGUCGCCCGUCUCCGCCAUCUUGGCCUUUGCGGGGAGGUGGGGCCUGGCGCGCUGUUGAAUGCUAACUGGGGCAGAUUCCCACAGCUGUUCGAGCUGCCAGCCUCCCUGGACGAUCGCGCCUUUUCGUUCUGUUUAUUGGGUCCUAGAAGCAGGUAUUUCUGUGCGACCUAGAACAAGGAUUGAGACCGAUGGACAAGGAGAGGGUUCGGAGGUUCCUGCUCCGGCAGAGUGAGAAUACUGAGCACCGAGGAAGAAAUGAGUUUCGUGAGUGCCUGGGUUUCAGAGAACCAGAAUGGCUUCUGCCCACCCAUCGUUAUGAGUUUCUUUGGAAGGAACUUCAUCUUGGAAGCUUCCACUGUUCAGGGUUACUAGCAGAUGUGUCUUGAAGCUGCUUCAAGAGAGUAUCCUCAGCCCUCAUGAUGUGCCUCCAGAGGGAUAGGCCCCCAACCUGCCAGCCCUUUCUGGACCUCUUGAUCCUGCCCUAAGGCAACUGAGGCCAUGGGUGCCCAUCCCUGGGGGCCACCGAACUGCUGGCCACCAUGCGGCACUGCCAGCAGAGCCCCAGUGAGCUUGGAUCCUGUCCAUGCCUGGACACCAUCUUCAUUGAACACUGAAAGACGCUACGUGCUUGGCAUCAGCAAGGAAUCCUUACUGUACCAAGCUGCCCUUCCUUCCCUGGGCCCACGUGGAGGGG